UUUCAAAAAAAAAAGGUCUUACCAUAUUCCAUGUGGCGUGCUUGAGAGCCACAGAACAGUCUAGUGUAAUAUCAUCGUCCAGAUCAGGAACAAACUUCUCAAUUUAGACAACAAAGUCAACAACCGGGAUGGAGUGGGGAGAGAUGGCAAACUCCAGAAAUAAUAUUAAUAGAAAGCAAGAGCCAGUCCAUCCCAGAGAAUUAGAAAGGAGGGUAAAAGCCAGAGAAUUGCAGAGUGGGGUAAUGGCGAUGGAGAUUUUUCCAGGUCUUCCAGAUGACAUUGGCAGAAGGUGUUUGCUGAGAGUGCCACGCACUUCACACUACACGUUGGCUCUUGUUUGUAAAACUUGGAAAAACAUUGUAUGCAGCCCGCUUUUCUAUCAAGACAGAAAGAGGAUUGGUCUGUCUCAGGAGUUAAUCAUACUAGGUUGGAGGAACAGCCAAACAGAUCAUAACAUUUGCAGAAUAAAGCUUUACGACCCUCUCCAAAACUCAUUUGAAACGCUGCCGCCAUUUCCAUAUUCUUCAGGUUUCUUCAACUGUGUUGCCUUCAACCACAAAUUGUUCUUCAUGGGCAUUCGUACCAGCAGGCCCCAUUCCACGGUUCAAAAAGAACUUGUCAUCUACGAUUUUUCUUCUGGUAUUCCUCUGUUGCUUGCUCUUCUCAUCGUAUAGGGGUUAUGGAAGCGAGGUCCCGACCUUCCCGAUUGCAGAUAUGAGUUCUGUUGUUCGUUGGACUCAGCUAAAGGAUUGAUUUACAUUGCUGGAGGACAAGACAGUGAUGAUAAAGAAUUAUGGACAGCCAUAGUUUAUGAUAUAGAGGAUGAGAAAUGGGAGUAUCUUCCUUCCCUGAAAUCGGACUACCUUCCUCCUCUAUGUUGGAGAAAUGGCAGUGUAUGUAUUGAUGACAAGUUUUAUGUGGUGAGCCAUUGGGAGAAGUAUAUACAGGCUUAUGAUCCCAACACAAGACAAUGGAGCACCAUAAGCACUUCCUAUGAUGGCAGUAGUCAGGUUUGUUUGGCUGCGUUUGGCCGGAUAUAUCCCAUAUUAUGUAGGAAUGUUAUAAGGCGGACUUUUCUGGAAAACCAAUCAAGCGUAGUAUGUAUAGGACCGCCUGCUAUUCAACUCUGCUUAAUUCUUGGUGUUACAAUGUGGCAUCAACAGAUAUUAAUUGUUGGAGCCAAUAAGGAAGAUGUGAGGGUCUUUUAUCUGUUUGAGCCUUCAAUACAAGCAGGAGAAGAAGACACGUGGACUCUCAUCAGCACUUCGUCUAAAACAGAGCUCCCAGACGAAAUCGCUAUCAUUGGAACUAUAGCUUUGUGAUUUAUGCAAUUGAAAUAUUUCAGUGUUGUAAUGAUUUUCCCAAUCUUCGUAGAGUAAAAAAUUCAUCUAUUGUUGGGAAAAUUCAGUAUUUUGCUGAUUUCUGAAACUUUAAGAAGUAAACUUAUUUUGGGCUUUCCAAGGGUUGUAAAAUUUUAGUCUUUUGUUUUUGGAAUGGUUUUAUCAAUGACUUUUAGGCUGAACACAGCAGCCAAGGUUUUGAAUGUAAACCUUUGAUGUCUCACCUUAAAAGGAAGCACAGCUCACCAAGUGUAGGAGUGCAUACAAAUUGGUUUGAGGGCUCUAUUACUUGUAAAAAUUAGAAUCGGAUGAUAUUCAAUUUAGUCAUUGUUUACAAUUUUUAGAAAUUUUGAUUAUUUAUUUCCUGAUUCAUCAUAUUUGUUAUCAACGAGGACUUAUUGUACAAAUUACAAACAAAUGAAGACUAGUAUGAGUUAACCACUUGAUAGAGCCUGUUGGAGACUCCAUAUAUUGGCAUUAGGUAACUGAUACUCCUGGACUAGCUGGUUUUAGCUGAAAGACAUGAAUUUUAAGUAUACGGACAAUGGAUUGUUUUAGAGUGUGUAGGUAUAGCAGAGGCAAUGUAACAGGUUGUGUUGACAAUUCCACAAUUGGAUUGUAUGAGGAAGGUUAUGGUAAGAUUGUCGCAGAGCACCUUGUGUAACCAUUGUUAACAGUUGUGCCCUUCAAGCUUGUUUUUAAAGCUGGAAAAUGAGAUGAUGACCAUUUGUGAAGGACACAAUAACAGCUAUGGUGCAUCUUUGCCAUCAAAAGUCCCUUGUCAAAAAUCCGAAGGAAUACCUGGAUUAUAGGAGGCUAGGCCAGUUCAUCUUAAGCAGAUGAAUCAACAGAUCAAGAAGCCAAAGGGCAUGGAUUGGGGAAAUAGUAUCUUUGCGGUUAUGGAAUUCAAGGUUUAACAAAAAAAAGCUAUUCUACAACCCAUUCAGAAUUUUAUAUUUUGUUAAGCUUUCUUUGAGGCUUCCAAUGAAGAUGAGGUAUGAUUGUAUUUUUUUUUUCCCUAGCGAUUAAAAUCCAGAUUUGAUUGGAAUCUUCAAUAGUUUCUCUCCCACUUAGCAUGAGGAGAAUUUCAUGCGCUGUUUUUUUGUAUGAAAUUAAAAUAAGAUUUCUAAAUAUAGAAUUUGAAUACAAAAACCUUUCUUGUAUGAAUUUGACAUGCAGCUGACCAUUCAUUACGCUAAGAGGUCUUCUACAGUCACAGAAGGCUGCAAUCAAUCUAUAUAAACAUAAAGCGUUUUUGAAUGAAUUUGACCUCCAGCUGGUGGUUGUAUAUUGGUUGUAACUGAUGGUAGCAGAAUGAACAUAAACUCACAAUUUCUUUGUGCAUGGGUGUUUCUCUCAUUGUAAAUAGAGAAAGGAAAUUGUUGCUUUC